rnacentral:rRNA from 1 species
AUACGUAGGUGACAAGCGUUAUCCGGAUUUACUGGGCGUAAAGGGCGUGUAGGCGGUCUUGCAAGUCAGAAGUGAAAUUCCUGAGCUCAACUCGGGCGCUGCUUCUGAAACUGCAGGACUUGAGUGCUGGAGGGGAUAGCGGAAUUCCUAGUGGAGCGGUAAAAUGCGCAGAUAUUAGGAAGAACACCGGUGGCGAAGGCGGCUAUCUGGACAGUAACUGCCGCUGAGGCGAGAAAGCGUGGGGAGCAAACAGGAUUAGAUACCUUGGUAGUCCACGCCGUAAACGAUGAAUACUAGGUGUAGGGGGUAUCGACUCCCUCUGUGCCGCAGUUAACACAAUAAGUAUUCCGCCUGGGGAGUACGGCCGCAAGGUUGAAACUCAAAUGAAUUGACGGGG